AAGCAUAAUGUACAAGAGAUAUCAAGCCAUUUUAGAGGGGGUAAAUUGAGACAAUGUCCAAACUUUUAAGACACCUUGAGGGCAAUAUAGAGAUUUCAUCCAUGGAAUUUAAAAAAAAAACACCACCGUCUGCCCUUUUAUCUACCUCUUAAACCCCUACAUCUACCUCUUAAACCUCUAAAUCUACCUCUCAAACCCAGAAAGAAGCAGUUGAUCGGUCCAUCCUUUAUCAUGAACCUGCAGUCGCUCUUAAGGCUUAAGAUGAAGAGGGUGGACGAUAGCGACUUACCAACCCUGCAAUUGAAUCAUUUGCCUUUUCAUGUAUUUCGAUCCUCAAAACCCACCGCCAAAUCGAUUUCGUCUAUAGUCGAUCUAUCUCUGUCGCUCUAUCUUCAGAUUCAUCACACAUCAAAACCCUUAAAUGUGGUGGUGUAGGAUCAUAAACAGCCCCGAUUAACCAACCAAUCUGAUGCAGCGGCGGUGGUUUCAGAGUACAAUCAGUUUACCGGUGACUAAGGUAAGUCAGACCUCUUAUUUUGUUUCUUUAUUUUCAGAACUGGUGAACGUUUUUAUGGUCUAGGGUUUUAUUGGCUAUGAUUUGGUGAACUGUCGUUAAAUCUAUGGCGAGGACAAGGGUAAAAACGGCUACCAGUCAGUGAUGACGUGUCUGGAAGUAGGUUUUCGGUCAGGAAUAGCUGCUGCCAUAAUUAGGUUUUUGAUUUACAAUGAAUUCUGGUAUGUUUAUGUGCAGGUUCAUGACAUUAGGAUUCAAAGUUUUCUACAAUUUUGGUUAGAGAUGUAACUAAAGAACAAUUUUUUUACUUCUGGAAUCUGUUACAUUUUGUUUUUGUUUUGUGUUUUGGUUGUUAAAGUGAAUCUUUAGGUCACACAUUCAAGAUUGAUGAGGUUUCAGAUUUAUAUCAUUGCAAGAAAAGCUUGAGUGUUUCUACACCGGUGGCCAGUCGGAAUCAGAAACCCAAGCCGGAGCCAUUUGUCAUCGGCAUUUAAACCAUGAUUUAUAUUGGGAGAGAGAACGACAAAGCGAGAGACAAUGGAGAUGGGAGACCUGCCUUCGGCCGGCCACCUUAAACCGGCAAUCCUCCAUUCAUUCAUCGCUCAUUUAAAAUGCGAUGAUAUAGGGUAUAUGAUUUCAAAACGUUCAAUGAAACUCCUUUGGCGCCUCAUCGGGCUGAAGAGUAAUUUGGUGAAAUCGAAUUUGUUUGGUAUUGGAGUCGAGUAUCAUGAAGUUCAGUAUCUUAAUUAUUACGAUGAAAUACAAACGGACAUAAACAAACACGUUACUGAGCAUUCACGUACGUAAAUGAGCGAACGCGGCCUCUGUUCAUGUUUCUUGAUUUAACUAAACGAAUGAUUUUUUUUUCAAAAGUCCAAUUCCAAUACCUCUGAUCAAGAGAAGAUUGGGGGUAACAAGAGUAGAACAUGGAAGCUAUGGAGGAGCCCGUCAGCCGGGUGUUCCUCGUCUUCAACGAGUUCAUCUUCUAAGGCGAUAAAAGGCGUGGGACAGUUGUCGACUUUGGAUGCUUCUCGUUCGGAUGAGGUGUCGUUUUCGGCUGCUGUGGCGACUGUGGUUAGAGCUCAGCCUAAAGAUUUUAUGUUUGUUAGGCAAGAAUGGGCUGCGAUUCGAAUUCAGUCGGUUUUUCGCUCUUUUUUGGUAAUUUCUAAACCUUGAAUAUCAAAUUUUAACAUGCUAUGCUACUGAGAAAGAAUAUUAACUUGUCUAUAUUUUGUCUUUUGAUAUGAUAUAAAACUUGGGGCUUUGUC